rnacentral:rRNA from 1 species
AGUGAACGCUGGCGGUAGGCCUAACACAUGCAAGUCGAACGGCAGCACAGUAAGAGCUUGCUCUUACGGGUGGCGAGUGGCGGACGGGUAGGAAUACAUCGGAAUCUACUUUUUCGUGGGGGAUAACGUAGGGAAACUUACGCUAAUACCGCAUACGACCUACGGGUGAAAGCAGGGGAUCUUCGGACCUUGCGCGAUUGAAUGAGCCGAUGUCGGAUUAGCUAGUUGGCGGGGUAAAGGCCCACCAAGGCGACGAUCCGUAGCUGGUCUGAGAGGAUGAUCAGCCACACUGGAACUGAGACACGGUCCAGACUCCUACGGGAGGCAGCAGUGGGGAAUAUUGGACAAUGGGCGCAAGCCUGAUCCAGCCAUACCGCGUGGGUGAAGAAGGCCUUCGGGUCGUAAAGCCCUUUUGUUGGGAAAGAAAAGCAGCAGGUUAAUACCCCGCUGUUCUGACGGUACCCAAAGAAUAAGCACCGGCUAACUUCGUG